rnacentral:rRNA from 1 species
UACGGAGGGUGCAAGCAUUGAUCGGAAUUACUGGGCGUAAAGGGCGCGUAGGCGGAGAGGAAAGUCAGAUGUGAAAUUCCGGGGCUCAACCCCGGAGCUGCAUUUGAAACUCCCUAUCUAGAGUUCAGUUAGGGAAAACGGAAUUCCACGUGUAGCGGUGAAAUGCGUAGAUAUGUGGAAGAACACCGGUGGUGAAGACGGUUUUCUGGGCUGAUACUGACGCUGAGGCGCGAAAGCAAGGGGAGCAAACAGG